UUUCUAUGAUGAACUUUAAAAUUAUUGACAAGCAUAUGUCUGAUAUAAAAAUAUAGCUGAUGAUACUAUAUAUAUAAUCUGAGAAA